UGUCCAGGGGCGGGAAUCGAACCCACAGCCUUCUGCUUACCGGGCAGGUGCCAUGUCCACUAGGCUAUCCUGGAC
rnacentral:tRNA from 1 species